UACGUAGGGUGCAAGCGUUAAUCGGAAUUAUUGGGCGUAAAGCGCGCGCAGGCGGUCCUUUAAGUCUGAUGUGAAAGCCCACGGCUCAACCGUGGAGGGUCAUUGGAAACUGGGGGACUUGAGUGCAGGAGAGAAGAGUGGAAUUCCACGUGUAGCGGUGAAAUGCGUAGAUAUCUGGAGGAACACCGGUGGCGAAGGCGGCAUCCUGGACUACUACUGACGCUGAGGAGCGAAAGCCAGGGGAGCAAACGGG
rnacentral:rRNA from 1 species